rnacentral:rRNA from 1 species
AGUGAACGCUGGCGGUAGGCCUAACACAUGCAAGUCGAACGGCAGCACAGUAAGAGCUUGCUCUUACGGGUGGCGAGUGGCGGACGGGUGAGGAAUACAUCGGAAUCUACUUUUUCGUGGGGGAUAACGUAGGGAAACUUACGCUAAUACCGCAUACGACCUACGGGUGAAAGCAGGGGAUCUUCGGACCUUGCGCGAUUGAAUGAGCCGAUGUCGGAUUAGCUAGUUGGCGGGGUAAAGGCCCACCAAGGCGACGAUCCGUAGCUGGUCUGAGAGGAUGAUCAGCCACACUGGAACUGAGACACGGUCCAGACUCCUACGGGAGGCAGCAGCGGGGAAUAUUGGACAAUGGGCGCAAGCCUGAGCCAGCCAUACCGCGUGGGUGAAGAAGGCCUUCGGGUUGUAAAGCCCUUUUGUUGGGAAAGAAAAGCAGCAGGUUAAUACCCCGCUGUUCUGACGGUACCCAAAGAAUAAGCACCGGCUAACUUCGU